GGCGCAUUAGGCAAGCGGUCAAAGCCACAGGACUUUCAAUCCUGCAAUCGCUCGGUUCGAAUCCGGCAUGCGUCA
rfam:Paenibacillus macerans strain 8244 genomic scaffold scaffold1, whole genome shotgun sequence.